GAUGAACGCUGGCGGCGUGCCUAAUACAUGCAAGUCGAGCGAACGGACGAGAAGCUUGCUUUUCUGAUGUUAGCGGCGGACGGGUGAGUAACACGUGGAUAACCUACCUAUAAGACUGGGAUAACUUCGGGAAACCGGAGCUAAUAUCGGAUAAUAUUUUGAACCGCAUGGUUCAAAAGUGAAAGACGGUCUUGCUGUCACUUAUAGAUGGAUCCGCGCUGCAUUAGCUAGUUGGUAAGGUAACGGCUUACCAAGGCAACGAUGCAUAGCCGACCUGAGAGGGUGAUCGGCCACACUGGAACUGAGACACGGUCCAGACUCCUACGGGAGGCAGCAGUAGGGAAUCUUCCGCAAUGGGCGAAAGCCUGACGGAGCAACGCCGCGUGAGUGAUGAAGGUCUUCGGAUCGUAAAACUCUGUUAUUAGGUAAGAACAUAUGUGUAAGUAACUGUGCACAUCUUGACGGUACCCAAUCAGAAAGCCACGGCUAACUACGUG
rnacentral:rRNA from 1 species